rnacentral:rRNA from 1 species
UACGGAGGAUCCGAGCGUUAUCCGGAUUCAUUGGGUUUAAAGGGUGCGUAGGUUGUUUUAUAAGUUAGCGGUGAAAUACCGAUGCUCAACAUCGGGGCUGCCGCUAAUACUGUAGGACUAGAGAUCGGAUGCAGCAGGCGGAAUGUGUAGUGUAGCGGUGAAAUGCAUAGAUAUUACACAGAACACCGAUUGCGAAGGCAGCUUGCUAGGCCGGAUCUGACACUGAUGCACGAAAGCGUGGGGAUCGAACAGG